ACGAACGCUGGCGGCGUGCCUAACGCAUGCAAGUCGAGCGGAGCUUAUUGGAAGGGUAACUGGAAGAUAAGCUUAGCGGCGGACGGGUGAGUAACACGUGAGCAACCUGGCCUUAGCACAGGGAUAACAGGUCGAAAGGCUUGCUAAUACCUGAUAGGACUACGUUAACGCAUGUUAAGGUAGUGAAAGGGGGGAACUCGGCUAAGGAUGGGCUCGCGGUCCAUCAGCUAGUUGGUAGGGUAAAGGCCUACCAAGGCGACGACGGGUAGCCGGCCUGAGAGGGUGAACGGCCACAGUGGGACUGAGACACGGCCCACACUCCUACGGGAGGCAGCAGCGGGGAAUCUUGCGCAAUGGGCGAAAGCCUGACGCAGCGACGCCGCGUUGGGGAAGAAGUCUUUCGGGAUGUAAACCCAUGUUGACAGGGAGAAGAAGGAGAUAGUACCUGUUGAGGAAGCCACGGCUAACUACGUGCCAGCAGCCGCGGUAAUACGUAGGUGGCGAGCGUUGUCCGGAAUUACUGGGUGUAAAGGGUGCGUAGGCGGCUAUUUAAGUUAGUUGUGAAAUCCUCAGGCUCAACUUGAGGCAUGCAACUAAAACUGUGUAGCUUGAGUGCAGGAGAGGAUGACGGAAUUCCCGGAGUAGCGGUGAAAUGCGUAGAUAUCGGGAGGAACACCAGUGGCGAAGGCGGUCAUCUGGACUGUAACUGACGCUGAGGCACGAAAGCGUGGGGAGCGAAACGAGGAUUAGAUACCCUGGUAGUCCACGCUGUAAACGUUGGAUGCUAGGUGU
rnacentral:rRNA from 1 species